UAGAAACACUUGAGGAGAGAAUAGCAGAAUCUGCACUAAUUUUUUCACCGAUUUCAGCCAAAUACAGGAUCUGACAAGAUGGGAAGGAAAUCUCUCAAGAAAGUAUUGGAGGAAGUGAGCAAGAGAAAGGAUAUUCCUGAGGAGGAAAAGAGUGAGUUCCUAUUAAGAACUGAAAAGUGCUUUCAACCUGAUGAACAGAGGAGACCAGAAGAUAUGGGGGAUUCUAAAUAUGAUUACU